UUAGUUGCCAGCAUUAAGUUGGGCACUCUAAGGAGACUGCCGGUGACAAACCGGAGGAAGGUUGGGACGACGUCAAGUCAUCAUGCCCUUACGUGUAGGGCUACACACGUGCUACAAUGGCAUUUACAGAGGGAAGCGAGACAGUGAUGUGGAGCGGACCCCUUAAAGAAUGUCGUAGUCCGGAUUGGAGUCUGCAACUCGACUCCAUGAAGUCGGAAUCGCUAGUAAUCGCAGGUCAGAAUACUGCGGUGAAUACGUUCCCGGGCCUUGUACACACCGCCCGUCACACCAUGGGAGUGGGAUGCAAAAGAAGUAGUUAGUCUAACCUUCGGGAGGACGAUUACCACUUUGUGUUUCAUGACUGGGGUGAAGUCGUAACAAGGUAACCGUA
rnacentral:rRNA from 1 species